CACGUAGGGCGCAAGCGUUGUCCGGAAUUAUUGGGCGUAAAGAGCUCGUAGGCGGUCUGUUACGUCUGCUGUGAAAACCCGGGGCUUAACCCUGGGCUUGCAGUGGAUACGGGCAGACUAGAGGCAGGUAGGGGAGAAUGGAAUUCCCGGUGUAGCGGUGAAAUGCGCAGAUAUCAGGAGGAACACCGAUGGCGAAGGCAGGUCUCUGGGCAUUAACUGACGCUGAGGAGCGAAAGCGUGGGGAGCGAACAGG
rnacentral:rRNA from 1 species